rnacentral:rRNA from 1 species
CAAGUCGAGUGCGCAGUUUUCUGUAGCAAUACAGGGAAUGGGCGCACGGCGCACGGGUGAGUAACACGUGGGCAACCUGCCCUCCAAAAGGGGAUAACCCGCCGAAAGGCGGGCUAAUACCGUAUGACAUUGCGAUUGCCUCGGCGAUUGCAAUCAAAGGCCGCAAGGCCGUUGGGGGAGGGGCCCGCGCCCGAUUAGCUAGUUGGCGAGGUAACGGCUCACCAAGGCAUUGAUCGGUAGCCGGUCUGAGAGGAUGGCCGGCCACACUGGAACUGAGACACGGUCCAGACUCCUACGGGAGGCAGCAGUGGGGAAUCUUGCGCAAUGGGCGAAAGCCUGACGCAGCGACGCCGCGUGGGGGAUGAAGCAUCUCGGUGUGUAAACCCCUUUCGACCCGGAAGAAUGUCCCGCAAGGGAUUGACGGUACGGGUAUAAGAAGCCCCGGCUAACUACGUGCCAGCAGCCGCGGUAAGACGUAGGGGGCCAGCGUUGCUCGGAAUUACUGGGCGUAAAGGGUUCGUAGGCGGUGCGGCAAGUCGGAAGUGAAAUCUCCAGGCUCAACUUGGAGGCUGCUCCCGAAACUGCCGCGCUAGAGUGCGGGAGAGGCCAGUGGAAUUGCAGGUGUAGCGGUGAAAUGCGUAGAUAUCUGCAGGAACACCCGUGGCGAAGGCGGCUGGCUGGACCGCAACUGACGCUGAGGAACGAAAGCUAGGGGAGCAAACAGGAUUAGAUACCCUGGUAGUCCUAGCCCUAAACGAUCAGGACUUGGGGUGCAUCCCGACGGGGUGCGUCCCGUAGCUAACGCGUUAAGUCCUGCGCCUGGGGAGUACGGUCGCAAGACUGAAACUCAAGGAAUUGACGGGGGCCC